rnacentral:rRNA from 1 species
GACGAACGCUGGCGGCGUGCCUAAUACAUGCAAGUCGAACGAGUGACCCCUCGGUGGCAACACCUUGGGUGAUCUAGUGGCGAACGGGUGAGUAACACGUGAGGAACCUGCCCCGAAGACCGGGAUAACCAGAGGAAACUCUAGCUAAUACCGGAUACCCCCACCGGACCGCAUGAUCUGGUGAGGAAAUGGAUUCCGCUUCGGGAGGGCCUCGCGGCCUAUCAGCUUGUUGGUGGGGUAACGGCCCACCAAGGCUUCGACGGGUAGCUGGUCUGAGAGGACGAUCAGCCACACUGGGACUGAGACACGGCCCAGACUCCUACGGGAGGCAGCAGUAGGGAAUCUUGCGCAAUGGGCGAAAGCCUGACGCAGCAACGCCGCGUGCGGGAUGAAGGCCUUCGGGUUGUAAACCGCUUUCAGCAGGGACGAAACUGACGGUACCUGCAGAAGAAGCCCCGGCCAACUACGUGCCAGCCGCCGCGGUAAUAC